AGUGAACGCUGGCGGUAGGCCUAACACAUGCAAGUCGAACGGCAGCACAGUAAGAGCUUGCUCUUACGGGUGGCGCGUGGCGGACGGGUGAGGAAUACAUCGGAAUCUACUUUUUCGUGGGGGAUAACGUAGGGAAACUUACGCUAAUACCGCAUACGACCUACGGGUGAAAGCAGGGGAUCUUCGGACCUUGCGCGAUUGAAUGAGCCGAUGUCGGAUUAGCUAGUUGGCGGGGUAAAGGCCCACCAAGGCGACGAUCCGUAGCUGGUCUGAGAGGAUGAUCAGCCACACUGGAACUGAGACACGGUCCAGACUCCUACGGGAGGCAGCAGUGGGGAAUAUUGGAUAAUGGGCGCAAGCCUGAUCCAGCCAUACCGCGUGGGUGAAGAAGGCCUUCGGGUUGUAAAGCCCUUUUGUUGGGAAAGAAAAGCAGCAGGUUAAUACCCCGCUGUUCUGACGGUACCCAAAGAAUAAGCACCGGCUAACUUCGUG
rnacentral:rRNA from 1 species